UUUUAGGAUCAGUUUUUUCGGUGAUUAUUCGUUCGUGGCAAGUCCGAUUAAAAUUUUUUUUUCCAUGUCCAUCUGCAUGUACAUACGCAUGUGCAUGCAAAAUUUUAUGAGAAUUGAUUGAGUGGUGCAAAAGAAAAAUGCGGACAAAGAAGUUGCAAAGUCAAGUAUAAGAGCUUCGCUCGCCUUCGGCUCGCUCGCCCAAUAAUAUGUAUAUAUAGUGUGUGCUAUAGUACAGAAUCUUGUAGAAAGCUAAUAAAAAUCUGUUGAGCGAAUAAAGAUAAUGUUGCAAUUAAUUUGCUUGUAAAAAGUUGAAGAAAACUGCUCGACGCAGCGCCAUCUAGCAGUGAUACACGGAACUACGAUAGAAACUUCGCUGAUGGUAUAUUACCGUUAAAGUGUGAUUGAUUAAUUACCGACAGAAUCCAGUCGGUACUUUAAACGUGUUCAUCAUAGUUCAGCAGUUUGUUGUUAGAUGGCGGCGCAGUUACUGCACGAUACUUAAAAGUAAUUUAAGCCUUAUCAGACCGAGGAGCUAGUCUUCACAGCAUUGAAGUGGGAGGAAGGAUCUCUGCGUUCCAUUUAAUCAAAUUCCAAAAUUGAAUAUACACAGUCUGCCUCCAUAUUCGACAAAGAAUUAAGCCAAUAAAGAGUUACAUAAAUUAAAAAUUGUACAAAAUAUAUUUGCAAAUUGUAUGUAUUUAUGAACUUACAAUAAAUAAACAAAAGAAAUCAUGUACUUAUUUACAAUCCUUUCCAUUAAAUUCUUAAACAUAACAAACAAUCAACAGGUUAGGUCAGGCUUACGGUUAGGUUAUAUAGGGUUCGGUCAGGGUCCAAGGUUAGGUCGGAUUAUGUUAGGUCAGGCAUACGGAUAGGUUAUAUUAUGUUAGGUCAGAGUCCAAGGUUAGGACGGAUUAUAUUAGGUCAGGCCUACGGUUAGGAUAUAUUAGGUUAGGUCAGGAUUUGAGGUUAGUUCGGAUCAUGUUAGGUCAGGGACUAAGGUUAGGUUGUAUAAGGUUAGGUCUGGAGACUUAACAUAUAUCAUUCCCGA